rnacentral:lncRNA from 1 species
AGACUUGAAUAUUAGUUUCGUGGACUAUCUAUGGAUCUUUGCAUUAUUUCUGCAUGGAAAAUCAGUGAGAUGCCACAAUAUGAACAUUUUUGUGACAUUUCUUACCUUAUGAUAACCAUUGCCCCUAAUAUACUAGUUUGACCUCCCUUACAAAUAUAUAGUUUCUUGGAUUAUAUGGGGCAGAAAUUAAUGCAGAUUUCUUUAGAAGGCUCAUAGAACCUUAUGAGAACUGAGGUAGCAAAUAUCACCUAUAAUAUCUUUAAUUAACAGAUUAGAAAGUCAUUGCUUUUGCUGUGUAAGGUGAAGAGUUGCGAGCCUUCUGGUGAAGACUGUUUUAUAGCUCACGUGGCAACUCCUAUUAUAUAACAAUUAUUAUAAAGUUUGGGAUUAUCUGCACAGAUAUUUUAGGAAUUGGGACAAGUCACAAGAAAAUGGCUGUCCCCUGGAGUCACCAAGGACAGAAGUUCUUGGAGGGAAGGAAAAUGAGAUGAGAGGAGAUCCCCCACUGUUUGUGAGGAUAGCAAGAGAGCCCAGGGAUUCCGAGACUGAGAUCUGUUCCCCUGGACCAUCCGUUUGAUGAAAGUGGCUAAGGCUGUAAGGAGUCCUAUGACAUCAUAUCCUGGAUGGGAGAAGUCUUCAGAGACCUUCAUUGCCUCUGUUUAUACUGGGGAAAAAAGAUAAUAAAUAUUGUGAGACUCUCAG